AGUACAAUUGUUGGGUCAUAUGGUACUUGCAUGCUUAGUUUUCAAAGAAACCACCAAACUGUUUUCCAGAAUGGCUGUACCAUUUUAUAAUCCCACCAGCAAU
rnacentral:pre_miRNA from 1 species